GAUGAAGAACGCAGCGAAAUGCGAUAAGUAAUGUGAAUUGCAGAAUUUAGUGAAUCAUCGAAUCUUUGAACGCAUAUUGCGCCCGCCAGCACUCUGGCGGGCAUGCCUGUUCGAGCGUCAUUUCAACCCUCAGGCCUCGCGUCUGGCGUUGGGGCGCUGCGGCCCUCCCGCAGGCCCCCAAAUUUAGCGGCGGAUUCCCCGCGGCCCUGAGCGCAGUAGAGAGUAAAAACUUUAACGCUCCGGCGGCCGUGGCGCGGUUCUGCCUCUUUCCCAAUAGCGCCAAUAGCGCCACCCCCAAAAAAGUUGACCUCGGAUCAGGUAGGAAUACCCGCUGAACUUAAGCAUAUCAAUAAGCGGAGGA
rnacentral:misc_RNA from 1 species